rnacentral:rRNA from 1 species
CCCGUCACGCCACGGAAGUCAGUCUUCCCGGAAGCCCUCGGGCUAACCCGCAAGGGAGGCAGAGGACGAUGGGAAGGCUGGCAACUGGGGCGAAGUCGUAACAAGGUAGCCGUAGGGGAACCUGCGGCUGGAUCACCUCCUUU